rnacentral:rRNA from 1 species
UACGUAGGGUGCGAGCGUUGUCCGGAAUUAUUGGGCGUAAAGGGCUCGUAGGCGGUCUGUUGCGUCGGGAGUGAAAACUUACAGCUUAACUGUGAGCGUGCUUUCGAUACGGGCAGACUUGAGGCAUUCAGGGGAGAACGGAAUUCCUGGUGUAGCGGUGAAAUGCGCAGAUAUCAGGAGGAACACCGGUGGCGAAGGCGGCUUCCUGGGCCGACACUGACGCUGAGGCGCGAAAGCUAGGGGAGCAAACGGG